rnacentral:rRNA from 1 species
UACGUAGGGUGCAAGCGUUGUCCGGAAUUAUUGGGCGUAAAGAGCUCGUAGGCGGUCUGUCACGUCGGCUGUGAAAUCCCGAGGCUCAACCUCGGGUCUGCAGUCGAUACGGGCAAACUAGAGUAUUGCAGGGGAGACUGGAAUUCCUGGUGUAGCGGUGAAAUGCGCAGAUAUCAGGAGGAACACCGGUGGCGAAGGCGGGUCUCUGGGCAUUAACUGACGCUGAGGAGCGAAAGCAUGGGGGAGCGAACAGG